rnacentral:misc_RNA from 1 species
AGAAAGUCGGUGAGUAGAGCGACCCGUAGUACCGGAAGAUCGGUCGCGUUCAGCACCUCCGACCUUCGCCGAUCACGGAGAGCCCAACCACUAAAACCGACAACUAACCACCAACGACUAUAGAAACCGCGACCAGAAGCACCGCCCGCGCCAGCUCUCCGGUGGCGCCCGAGACGUCGCCGCUUAUCCCCCCGAAUACCCUUCUCGCCAGUGCGAGCGUGAAGAGGACCGUCGCCGCGAGGGCAGCGAGGGUAACGAGGAGGGCGGCUGGCCCGAGCGAGAGCGCGACCAGGGACGGAAGCGUGAGCGCCAGGAUCAGAGCAGCGACCCUUCGCCUCCCCUCUUUUAGAGCAAG